CCGUGAUAACGUAGCAUAAUCAUUCGCCACCUAAUUAGUGGAUAGUAUGAACGGUAAAACGAGUAUAACACUCUCUCAGAAGGAAGUUUUAUGAAAUUGGAGUGGUAGUCAAGAUACUACCUAAAACUGUAAGACGAAAAGACCCUAUAGAGCUUAACUAUACCUUUCUCACAAAAUUAAGUUCACUUAAGUUCCAGAAAGAUUGGUAGUUUAGUUGGGGCGACUGCUUUCUACUAAAAACGAAAGCAAGCAAUAUUAAUUAUCUAAUUUACUGUCUAAUCUAUAUGUUUAACAGUUAUAAAAAUAGGCAAUAAUGACCCGUUAGUAAUAAAAAACACUACUAACGAACAAUAAAUAAAAGCUACCUUAGGGAUAACAGGAUAAUCUUGUUCUAGAGACCCUAUCGAAAACAAGGUUUGUCACCUCUAUGUUGAAUUAAGAUAUCCUAGAAGUGUAGAAGCUUCUGAGG
rnacentral:rRNA from 1 species